rnacentral:rRNA from 1 species
GACGAACGCUGGCGGCGUGCCUAAUACAUGCAAGUUGAGCGCUGAAGGUUGGUACUUGUACCGACUGGAUGAGCAGCGAACGGGUGAGUAACGCGUGGGGAAUCUGCCUUUGAGCGGGGGACAACAUUUGGAAACGAAUGCUAAUACCGCAUAAAAACUUUAAACACAAGUUUUAAGUUUGAAAGAUGCAAUUGCAUCACUCAAAGAUGAUCCCGCGUUGUAUUAGCUAGUUGGUGAGGUAAAGGCCCACCAAGGCGAUGAUACAUAGCCGACCUGAGAGGGUGAUCGGCCACAUUGGGACUGAGACACGGCCCAAACUCCUACGGGAGGCAGCAGUAGGGAAUCUUCGGCAAUGGACGAAAGUCUGACCGAGCAACGCCGCGUGAGUGAAGAAGGUGUUCGGAUCGUAAAACUCUGUUGGUAGAGAAGAACGUUGGUGAGAGUGGAAAGCUCAUCAAGUGACGGUAACUACCCAGAAAGGGACGGCUAACUACGU